rnacentral:rRNA from 1 species
AGCAGUAGCCGCGGUAAGACAGAGGAUGCAAGCGUUAUCCGGAAUGAUUGGGCGUAAAGCAUCUGUAGGUGGCUUUUCAAGUCCGCCGUCAAAUCCCAGGGCUCAACCCUGGACAGGCGGUGGAAACUACUAAGCGGAGUACGGUAGGGGCAGAGGGAAUUUCCGGUGGGGCGGUGAAAUACGUUGAGAUCGGAAAGAACACCAACGGCGAAAGCACUCUGCUGGGCCGACACUGACACUGAGAGACGAAAGCUAGGGGAGCAAAUGGGAUUAGAUACCCCUGUAGUCCCUGUCUCUUAUACA